rnacentral:rRNA from 1 species
GUGCUCCGAAUUGGCACUUCUAUCUCGGUGGGUUCUGGGUCCUCGACCCUGUUUUGGUUCGACCGCUGGCUUGGGGAUCCUCUGGCCACCCGCUUCCCGGGCUUAUUUGCCAUUGCGGCUGACCCCAGGAUUUCCGUCGAGACGGCCCUUAUUGACUUAGGGCGCCUCGCCUUUCGGCGCACCUUUGGCCCUCAGGAGGUUGACGCAUGGGACGCCCUUCUACAGGACAUCGCUCUCUUGCCGAUGGAUGUAGAGGGCGCCGAUGACUCCAUGGCGUGGCGCCUGGAGCCCUCGGGAUGCUUCUCCACGAAGUCCUUGUACGCUGCCAUCGCCCCUUCGCCGGCCCCUGAGCCCUUUAGCCUGAUCUGGGACAUCCGACUCCCCCUCAAGAUCCGGAUAUUCCUCUGGCAGUGGAUCCGGGGACGUCUCCCCUCUGGGGUUGAAGUCCGCAAGCGUAAUGGACCUGGGGACGGGAUGUGUCCCCUGUGCGCCACAGUUGAGGACUCGAACCAUAUUUUCUUCAACUGCUCCACUGCCCAGUUCCUGUGGUCGUGCUUCCGUGAAACGGUCGGUGGACAAUGGUGCAAUACCAACUUCCCCGACCUACUCGCGGAGAUCCAUGCCUCCUCCCCACGUUACCGCCAUAUUAGAUGA